UCCAGACUCCUACGGGAGGCAGCAGUGGGGAAUAUUGCACAAUGGGGGGAACCCUGAUGCAGCGACGCCGCGUGGGUGAAGGAGCACCUCGGUGCGUAAAGCCCUAUCGGCAGGGAAGAAAAGCGAACAGGUUCGCCUGGACGGUACCUGACUAAGAAGCCCCGGCUAACUACGUGCCAGCAGCCGCGGUAAUACGUAUGGAGCAAGCGUUAUCCGGAUUUACUGGGUGUAAAGGGAGCGCAGACGGCAGGGCAAGUCUGAUGUGAAAGUCCGGGGCUCAACCCCGGGACUGCAUUGGAAACUGUCCGGCUAGAGUGCAGGAGAGGUAAGCGGAAUUCCUAGUGUAGCGGUGAAAUGCAUAGAUAUUAGGAGGAACACCAGUGGCGAAGGCGGCUUACUGGACUGUAACUGACACUGAGGCUCGAAAGCGUGGGGAGCAAACAGGAUUAGAUACCCUAGUAUC
rnacentral:rRNA from 1 species